CAGCCGCCACGGUAAUACGGGGGGCGCGAGCGUUACCCGGAUUUACUGGGCGUAAAGGGCGUGUAGGCGGCCUGGGGCGUCCCAUGUGAAAGGCCACGGCUCAACCGUGGAGGAGCGUGGGAUACGCUCAGGCUAGAGGGUGGGAGAGGGUGGUGGAAUUCCCGGAGUAGCGGUGAAAUGCGCAGAUACCGGGAGGAACGCCGAUGGCGAAGGCAGCCACCUGGUCCACUUCUGACGCUGAGGCGCGAAAGCGUGGGGAGCAAACCGGAUUAGAUACCCCCGUAGUCCCUGUCUCUUAUAC
rnacentral:rRNA from 1 species